UACAGAGGGUGCGAGCGUUAAUCGGAAUUACUGGGCGUAAAGCGCACGUAGGUGGCGACGUAAGUCGGGUGUGAAAGCCCCGGGCUCAACCUGGGAAUUGCAUUCGAGACUGCAUUGCUGGAGUACGGAAGAGAAAGGCGGAAUUCCCGGUGUAGCGGUGAAAUGCGUAGAUAUCAAGUGGAACACCAGUGGCGAAGGCGAAUCCCUGGAAAAUACCUGACACUGAGGCACGAAAGCUAGGGGAGCAAACAGG
rnacentral:rRNA from 1 species